rnacentral:rRNA from 1 species
CAAGGAUUCCCUUAGUAACGGCGAGUGAACCGGGAAGAGCUCAAAUUUGUAAUCUGGCUGUCUUCGAUAGUCCGAGUUGUAAUCUAUAGACGUGUUUUCCGUGCUGGACCGUAUCUAAGUCCCUUGGAACAGGGUAUCAAAGAGGGUGAUAAUCCCGUGCUUGAUACGACCACCAGUGCUCUGUGAUACACGCUCUACGAGUCGAGUUGUUUGGGAAUGCAGCUCAAAAUGGGUGGUAAAUUCCAUCUAAAGCUAAAUAUUGGCGAGAGACCGAUAGCGAACAAGUACCGUGAGGGAAAGAUGAAAAGCACUUUGGAAAGAGAGUUAAACAGUACGUGAAAUUGUUGAAAGGGAAACGAUUGAAGUCAGUCGUGUUCUUCAGAUUCAGCUGGUUCUUCCAGUCUACUUCUGUUGAACGGGUCAACAUCAGUUUUGUCCGGUGGAUAAAGGUAGUAGGAAUGUGACUCCUCCGGGAGUGUUAUAGCCUAUUAUUGCAUACACUGGGUGAGACUGAGGACUGCAGCUCGCCUUUUGGCCGGUCUUCGGACACGUUCGAGCUUAGGAUGUUGACAUAAUGGCUUUAAACGACCCGU